ACGAGUUCCCGUUGAUUGACGUGCUUGCACUGAUUUCAACAUUGGAACGAGUGGCGAACUGGUGAGUAACACGUGGAAAACCUGCCCAGAAGCAGGGGAUAACACUUGGAAACAGGUGCUAAUACCGUAUAACAACAAAAACCGCAUGGUUUUUGUUUGAAAGGUGGCUUCGGCUAUCACUUCUGGAUGGUUCCGCGGCGCAUUAGCUUGUUGGUGGGGUAACGGCUCACCAAGGCGAUGAUGCGUAGCCGACCUGAGAGGGUAAUCGGCCACAUUGGGACUGAGACACGGCCCAGACUCCUACGGGAGGCAGCAGUAGGGAAUCUUCCACAAUGGACGCAAGUCUGAUGGAGCAAUGCCGCGUGAGUGAAGAAGGGUUUCGGCUCGUAAAACUCUGUUGUUGAAGAAGAACGGGUGUCAGAGUAACUGUUGACAUCGUGACGGUAUUCAACCAGAAAGCCACGGCUAACUACGUGCCAGCAGCCGCGGUAAUACGUAGGUGGCAAGCGUUGUCCGGAUUUAUUGGGCGUAAAGCGAGCGCAGGCGGUUUCUUAAGUCUGAUGUGAAAGCCUUCGGCUUAACCGAAGAAGUGCAUCGGAAACUGGGGAACUUGAGUGCAGAAGAGGACAGUGGAACUCCAUGUGUAGCGGUGGAAUGCGUAGAUAUAUGGAAGAACACCAGUGGCGAAGGCGGCUGUCUAGUCUGCAACUGACGCUGAGGCUCGAAAGCAUGGGUAGCGAACAGGAUUAGAUACCCUGGUAGUCCAUGCCGUAAACGAUGAGUGCUAGGUGUUUGGAAGGGUUUCCGCCCUUCAGUGCCGCAGCUAACGCAUUAAGCACUCCGCCUGGGGGAGUACGACCGCAAGGUUGAAACUCAAAGGAAUUGACGGGGGCCCGCACAAGCGGUGGA
rnacentral:rRNA from 2 species